ACGUAUGGUGCAAGCGUUAUCCGGAUUUACUGGGUGUAAAGGGAGCGUAGACGGAGUAGCAAGUCUGAUGUGAAAACCCGGGGCUCAACCCCGGGACUGCAUUGGAAACUGUCAAUCUAGAGUACCGGAGAGGUAAGCGGAAUUCCUAGUGUAGCGGUGAAAUGCGUAGAUAUUAGGAGGAACACCAGUGGCGAAGGCGGCUUGCUGGACGGUAACUGACGUUGAGGCUCGAAAGCGUGGGGAGCAAACAG
rnacentral:rRNA from 1 species